AGAUCCUCUCUCAAAAUAAAAAAAAGUUAAAAAAAAAAAAAAAAGAUGGUGCCAGGCUGGGAUGUAACUCAGAAUACUUGUCUAGUGUGUGUGGGCACCAGAUUCAGUCUCACGUACUGCAAAAUAAAAAUAAAUUCAGUCUCCCACUUAUUUGUAGCCAUAGCUCUUAGCAAUGGCAAUAAAAGCACCAAAUUUGAAUGAUAAUUAUGUCUAAAAUAGAAAGAAAUUAGUUAAGGAUUAGCUAACCAUUUUGAAUAUUUACUUUCCACCAAAAUAAGCUUCACAGCAAAAAUUCCCAAACCCAGCCUAGACCAGUACCAACACGAACAAUGUUAGAUAGACGCACCCCACUGAUUUUUAGAGCGAGGUUCUCACACCAUGUAGCUCAGGCUGACCCCAAACUGGCAGUGAGCUGCCUUCCAAGUUACUCACAAAGUAGGCGGUCUUGGCUCUUUGGAGAGGAGAUUAGAGAAUGGUGGCUCAUUGUUUCUAGGUCAUCUUGUCAGGUCUUAAAUUAGUGCCAAUAAUCCAGACAGUUUCCAUUAUUAUCCAUUAUUAAUUAUCAUUAGGCCUAUUGUUAGUGCACAGGGAAUAUUCUAAUUAAACUUUCAAAAGCUUUGGUGAAGGUGGAGUUGAAAGUCCAAAUAUUGAUUUUCAGCUAAUGUUUAUCU
rnacentral:lncRNA from 1 species